AGAUACCAAGUCCUUGUGGUCUACCAGCUCUCUGAAUCUGCAUGCAUCCUCAGGGCUCCAGUCUUUGUUAGCUGCUUUGAUGCCUGCAAAAAGAAGCACUUCGCAUCACCAACACCUGGGAAUGACAAACCAUGAGUGGUGAAAGGUACCUUAAGCAGUAGUGGAGUGUCUGGGGAAGCCAAGUCCAGGAGUCGCUGACAUGCCUGUGUUGUCCACUUCAGCUCCGGGUUGCUGGGGACAUUGUCCAGGCAGCACGGCAAUGCCUGCACACCAACAACAUUGUACAAUUCCUUUUGUUAUUAAUAAAUUUGUACAAUUCA